rnacentral:rRNA from 1 species
CCUACGGGAGGCAGCAGUGAGGAAUAUUGGACAAUGGGUGAGAGCCUGAUCCAGCCAUCCCGCGUGAAGGACGACUGCCCUAUGGGUUGUAAACUUCUUUUAUACUGGGAUAAACCUACUUACGUGUAAGUAGCUGAAGGUACAGUAUGAAUAAGCACCGGCUAACUCCGUGCCAGCAGCCGCGGUAAU